rnacentral:rRNA from 1 species
CGCGUAGGCGGGUGUUUUAGUCAGAGGUUAAAUCCCGGGGCUCAACCUCGGAACUGCCUUUGAUACUGGACGCCUAGAGUUCGGGAGAGGUGUGUGGAACUCCGAGUGUAGAGGUGAAAUUCGUAGAUAUUCGGAAGAACACCAGUGGCGAAGGCGACACACUGGCCCGAUACUGACGCUGAGGCGCGAAAGCGUGGGGAGCAAACAGGAUUAGAUACCCUGGUAGUCCACGCCGUAAACGAUGAGUGCUAGUUGUCGGCAUGCAUGCAUGUCGGUGACGCAGCUAACGCAUUAAGCACUCCGCCUGGGGAGUACGGUCGCAAGAUUAAA